rnacentral:rRNA from 1 species
GUGCCAGCAGCCGCGGUAAUUCCAGCUCCAAUAGCGUAUAUUAAAGUUGUUGUGGUUAAAAAGCUCGUAGUUGAACCUUGGGCCUGGCUGGCCGGUCCGCCUCACCGCGUGCACUGGUCCGGCCGGGCCUUUCCCUCUGUGGAACCCCAUACCCUUCACUGGGCGUGGCGGGGAAACAGGACAUUUACUUUGAAAAAAUUAGAGUGCUCCAGGCAGGCCUAUGCUCGAAUACAUUAGCAUGGAAUAAUAAAAUAGGACGCGCGGUUCUAUUUUGUUGGUUUAUAGGACCGCCGUAAUGAUUAAUAGGGACAGUCGGGGGCAUCAGUAUUCAACUGUCAGAGGUGAAAUUCUUGGAUCAGUUGAAGACUAACUACUGCGAAAGCAUUUGCCAAGGAUGUUUUCAUUAAUCAGGAACGAAAGUUAGGGGAUCGAAGACGAUCAGAUACCGUCGUAGUCUUAACCAUAAACUAUGCCGACUAGGGAUCGGACGGUGUUAUUCAUGACCCGUUCGGCACCUUACGAGAAAUCAAAGUGCUUGGGCUCCAGGGGGAGUAUGGUCGCAAGGCUGAAACUUAAAGAAAUCGACGGAAGGGCACCACCAGGGGUGGAGCCUGCGGCUUAAUUUGACUCAACACGGGGAAACUCACCAGGUCCAGACACAAUAAGGAUUGACAGAUUGAGAGCUCUUUCUUGAUUUUGUGGGUGGUGUUGCAUGGCCGUUCUUAGUUGGUGGGUUGACUUGUCUGCUUAAUUGCGAAUAACGAACGAGACCUUAACCUGCUUAAAUAGCCCGCAUUGCUCCGGCAGUGCGCUGGCUC